AUGAACGCUGGCGGCGUGCCUAAUCCAUGCCAGUCGAGCGAACAGACGAGGAGCUUGCUCCUCUGACGUUAGCGGCGGACGGGUGAGUAACACGUGGAUAACCUACCUAUAAGACUGGGAUAACUUCGGGAAACCGGAGCUAAUACCGGAUAAUUUAUUGAACCGCAUGGUUCAAUAGUGAAAGACGGUUUUGCUGUCACUUAUAGAUGGAUCCGCGCCGCAUUAGCUAGUUGGUAAGGUAACGGCUUACCAAGGCAACGAUGCGUAGCCGACCUGAGAGGGUGAUCGGCCACACUGGAACUGAGACACGGUCCAGACUCCUACGGGAGGCAGCAGUAGGGAAUCUUCCGCAAUGGGCGAAAGCUUGACGGAGCAACGCCGCGUGAGUGAUGAAGGUCUUCGGAUCGUAAAACUCUGUUAUUAGGGAAGAACAAAUGUGUAAGUAACUAUGCACGUCUUGACGGUACCUAAUCAGAAAGCCACGGCUAACUACGUG
rnacentral:rRNA from 1 species